AACGAACGCUGGCGGCAUGCCUAACGCAUGCAAGUCGAACGAGACCUUCGGGUCUAGUGGCGCACGGGUGCGUAACGCGUGGGAACCUGCCCUUAGGUUCGGAAUAACUCCCCGAAAGGGGUGCUAAUACCGGAUAAUGUCUUCGGACCAAAGAUUUAUCGCCUUUGGAUGGGCCCGCGUUGGAUUAGCUAGUUGGUAGGGUAAAAGCCUACCAAGGCGACGAUCCAUAGCUGGUCUGAGAGGAUGAUCAGCCACACUGGGACUGAGACACGGCCCAGACGCCGACGGGAGGCAGCAGUGGGGAAUAAUGGAGAAUGGGCGAAAGCCUGAUCCAGCAAUGCCGCGUGAGUGAUGAAGGCCUUAGGGUUGUAAAGCUCUCUUACCAGGGAUGAUAAUGACAGUACCGGGAGAAUAAGCUCCGGCUAACUCCGUG
rnacentral:rRNA from 1 species